rnacentral:lncRNA from 1 species
AGGAAUUAAAGAUAAGCAAAAAGAAAAUGAGAUUGAGGAAUUAAAGAUGGACAAUAUUUGGAUUAGAAAGAGGUAGCAAAGAUGACAAAAGAUUUUCAUAUAUAGGAGUUGAAAACAAAAAUAUAUACUACAAAAAUUAUAGUGUAACACCUCAGUCCCACAUCGAAAGAUAGGAAAAAGAUUUGUCUCUAUAUAAAAAAAUAAGUUACUAUCAAUAGUACCUUCAAGUCAUGACCUUUUGGGUGAGUCUGUAGUGGGCUAAGAUGACCCAAUAAAAUAUUAUUGGGUCAGUAGUUUAAGACCUUAUUUUGACGGAUUUGAUUUGAUUCAGACUUGAGAUUUAACCGAAAUUUUGAAAUAAUGAAAUAUCGUUUUUGAGUCAAGUUGAGUUCCAAACAUGUGAUUGAAAUGCAAUCUUUCCCAGUUCUUACCCAACAAACAUAAG